UAUGUGUCAGCCGCCAAACUUCAUCAGACAUCCUCCUUUCUAAUUCGUAUUCAUCCAUAACCGACCCAGAUUUACAUCGCCGUCUCCUUCACAACUACUGCCUCCAUCCUCCGAUCAGGUGGACAUGAGCUUUCACGCUCCUCGAAUUGAUAGAAGAGACAAUGAUGAUAAUAAUAAUAAUAACAGGCCCCUGGUUUUCUUGUCGGCAACUGUUGCUGUUUGUUGCAGCUUCAUCCACGAAGAAGUAAUCACCACGAAAGGAAUACACUGAAACGGGUAAGUUGUAGGUUUCGUGAACAUGCUUCCAGCCAACAUCAUUUAAUCCAACUAAGACGAAGAAUUAGCUCGUCGAAGACUGUUAGCUCGACGAAGACUGAUAGCUCGACGAAGACUUGGGUUUGACGAAGACUAUAAAGGUCCGACGAACUCUCUAUCAGCCGACGAAGAUUGAAAAUUAUCCGACGAAGAGUGGGGCUGACGAAGACUGAAGCGGUUCGACGAACAAUGAGGAUUCUUAGUCGGUUAUUGAUUGUUCGGCAAGGGAGACUUCGCUAGGGGAGUCUUCGGCACACAUGGUUCACUUUUGCGUCAGAUUCAGAUCUGAAGAAACCUAGCUUUUCAAACAGCCGCCACACCUUACCUCAAGAACACAGCACUGUUCACUUGCAGAUCUUAACGAAAAUCUAUAAGAACAUGAUAUUUGAUGAUGAAAACUUGUUGAUUUGGACCCGCGAAUUUCAGUCCAGAUCUGGGUUUUUCUUCAUUUUCACCAUUCUUACAUCUUGAACAAAAAUCACAAUAAACACAGAUCUAGAGCACAUGUGAUUUAGCAAACUGUUGGAUUUACUAAAUCGGGUACCUGGGUCUGAUACCAAUUGUAGGACCGAGUUUCGGGACCGAAACCGUGAUUAGUGUGUGAUUAGUUCAAGACGGGAGAGAUUAGAGAUGGAUAAACACAACUUCUUUGUAUUAAUCGGUAGUAAAAUCAGUUUUAC
rnacentral:lncRNA from 1 species